rnacentral:misc_RNA from 1 species
AAGGAAAAGAAAAUCUUUUCAAUUUUCAUUUUCAGUUUUGGUAGACUUAGUCCUAAUCAGUAGUAAGUUUUUCUUUCUUAAGAAAAAGGAAGGGCCCAUAGCUCAGUUGGUUAGAGCACACGCAUGAUAAGCGUGAGGUCGAUGGUUCAAGUCCAUUUAGGCCCACCAACUGAUCAAUAAGGUCAUCUUUCUGAUUCUUAAAAAAAGUUCUCGAAAAGUACAUAAACAAAGUAAAAUAAUAGAAAUC